rnacentral:rRNA from 1 species
GUGGGGAAUCUUCCGCAAUGGACGAAAGUCUGACGGAGCAACGCCGCGUGAGUGAAGAAGGUUUUCGGAUCGUAAAGCUCUUUCGUUAGGGACGAACGUGCUCUUUGUGAAUAAUGAGGAGUAAUGACGGUACCUAAAUAAGAAGCCACGGCUAACUACGUGCCAGCAGCCGCGGUAAUACGUAGGUGGCAAGCGUUGUCCGGAAUUAUUGGGCGUAAAGCGCGCGCAGGCGGGAUAUCAAGUCUGUCUUAAAAGUGCGAGACUCAACCUCGUGAGGGGACAGAAACUGGUAUUCUUGAGUGUCGGAGAGGAAAGUGGAAUUCCAAGUGUAGCGGUGAAAUGCGUAGAGAUUUGGAAGAACACCAGUGGCGAAGGCGACUUUCUGGACGAUGUCUGACGCUGAGGCGCGAAAGCUAGGGGAGCGAACGGGAUUAGAAACCCGGGUAGUCC